CCCGUCUCCCCCUCUCUCUCUCCCCCCUCUCUCUGUCUCAGACUCUCAGCCCUCGACACUGCCAGAAGGCAGUGCAUGCAGCCAGCCUUGCAGCUUACACUGCUUCCACUCAGCCAGGAAGGUGAGAAGGCCUGUAUGCUGACGUUCUUCACCUCUGUGAAGACGCGCCGAGCGCUGGUCUCCAUUUAGAAACGUCUAGUUUCGUCAUUUCUUUUCUCACUUCACCCAUCACUGUGACUGUCGGGUCAACAAGUAUCUCCUUUCAGAACUGACUGGUGUUCUACUCCAGCAUGGACAGCCGAAACAUGAGCCCCUUUGACCUGGUGAACUUUUUAACUUGAGGAAUUUUCCAUCAGGGCUGUCGGUUACUGCUGUGGAAGAGUAGAGCAAACACAGGGAAGGUGUCUAUCUGGGGGAUCUCAAGCAGCCGUCCUGUACUACUGUUGCCUCUGGGGAACCUGGUGUUGCCUCUGGGGAACCUGGCGUUGUUGAGGGGGAGACAACGACUUGGCCCUGACAGUGACAGCACCAGGGGAGGCAUUUGUGAGGCAUGUGAGUUAUGAAACAACCGCCAAUGUUUUUCAAAACAGAGAAGGAAGUUUGACACACUAAAUCAAAUUUAACAGAUUUUUGUUGUUGUUUAUACAUUAGUAUUCACAUAAUGAUGAGGGACACGGGUGCUCUCAUAAGCCUUCAAGUGAUUCAGAAAAGUAUGUUGAUGUUUAAAUUCCCUGUUGAGGCCAGUUCAUAAUGUUCCUGGCACACUGCUAGCUUGACGCUCCCAAAUUCCAGUGUUCAACGUGCUCGUGCUCCGUCGCGACCUUAGCAAAGAGAGCAAAGGAAUGAAAACCAGUUCAGUCGAAUCGAGCCGUGUGGAUACACUCACACUGGCAAAGCUAAGGGAGGCGCUGCGAGGUGGAAUGCAGGCAAGCACAGUCAAAAACUACAUGGAAUUUUCCACGCUUCUCACCAGAGGCCCCUUGUCAGUAUGCCAUCUGGUGGAUGAUUAUUCAGUUACAAAAGGUGCACAUGACGGUGAAACGUUCAUGAUGUGCUCUCUCUGAAGCCUUCGCGGGCCAUAGAGGCCAUAGAAACAGCAUUUUGCGCAGGGUGAAAAAACGAGCGGUUCAAAGUCUCGAGAGCUAAGCUGCUCUUGUGCUGCUCACGUGCUCAAAGAUAAUCAGCUGGACUGGCAGAGGAUCAGCUGCAGAUAAACGUAUAAUUAAUACCACGUACAAUAGCCUAGAUAAGUGUUUUAAACAAACAAGACAUUGUACUCGAUGUUUGUUUUGUUUUUUCAAACACUUGACCGGGGUUUCGGGCUAAAUGUUCUUCUGAGGUGUGAGUCAGAAACAGUGUAAACAAACAGCUCCAGUUACCCUACUGCUAUCCUCUCUCUCGUCCAAUCAGAGCGCUCUCCAUAGUUAGUCCCCCUUUCUGUAGUACUGCCCGGCCAACAGAUUCAUGUUGCUCUCAGAGCUGUAAACGCUUGACGAUCACGGUUCCAGGGUAACGUAGAUUUUAUUUCGACUUAGGGAGGAAAAGCUCUAGUUUGGCAACUGCAGAUUGGGUGCACUUCACUUUUAUUAAUCGUGUCGCAUGAGGUGUUUUAAAAUACAAAAUAAAAACUCAUAAGGCAUAGCUUUCAUACUCGAAUACAUUUUAAAUCACUUCAACUUCAUUCUACCUCAAUCAUCAAAGGGGAGGUCAACCUGUAUAAUCAAAUGUGACAGAUAUAUAUCAUCACAUAUAUAUAUAUUAUAUACACAGAAUACACAAUUUCCUAGUUGUUGUAUUGGCAUACUGUACGGGUGAUAAAUCUGAAAUUGCAAACACAAUAUUUUGUAAUACCACUUUCCUAAAAUGUUUGCAUUUCAUAUUCCACUACUCUGUAUUCAUUUUUUUGUAAAGGUAUACUUUUGGCCAGAGACGGAUGCAUAGGAGAGAGAGAGACAGAGAGAGACAGAGAGAGACAGAGAGAGACAGAGAGAGACAGAGAGAGACAGAGAGAGACAGAGAGAGACAGAGAGAGACGAUGGCAUGGGGCGGACUUGAACCUCAGCUUCAGGGCCUUGGCCCGUAUGGUACGCGCUACCACUGAGCCCCUAUGACUUGCCAACCCAGGCCAACAUUACUGUCCAAACAAUGAAACAGCUUCAGAUCAUCUUUCCUGCUUUAUCCACCUGUUGUACCUGAAACAGCUGUUCAGCAACACCGUUCCAGAGCUGCAUUAGUGUCUGAUACCACCACAACACACACUGGGUUAGUGGCCAGGUCACCCCAUCGGAGGGAUCUAUCCUCUAAAUUUCAAAAAAGGCCACAUGUGCAACACCAUUUAGACUUUGAUAUCUGGAAAGAAGGACUUCUGUAUCACAUGCCUGUCCAGUGGCCAUUAGUAUACUUGUGGUGCGAUUUGAAGCAAGUGUGUUGGUGUGCUUCAUCCCAGGCAGUGGAUGCAGGGAGUUUGGCCAGGAUGAAAGCACUCCCUCAAAGCCCCAGAAAACAACCUCUUUCUCUCUCUCUCUCACUCACUCACUCACUCACUCACUCACACUCUCUCUCUCAUUCUCUCUCUUUACCCUCUCUCUCUGAAAAAAAACCUGAAAUCAUUUGGAAGUACUCCAGCUCUGUUUCCAUGGACUCAACUAUGAGAGAAAAGUAUGUUUUAUAACAUAUCAAAUUGACAUGAGUAGUUGGAAUUAAGAAGUUUCAUUUGUAUAUUUUGGGGGAGGAUUCCAAAAAGAUUGGCGAUAUAAAAUAGGGGCCAUCAUGCAUUGCCAUCUGCUUGCAUAUUUCUGAAAGAUAUGGUGUUUAUUUAUUUUGAUUAAGCAAUGAAAAAUCAAUAUUGUAUUUCAUCAAAUUAAAUCAUGAUCACACUCGUGGAAAAAUUGUAUAAAGUGAAAAGAGAACAAUAAAUUAUAUUUCUUUUUU